rnacentral:rRNA from 1 species
UGCCAGACUCCUACGGGAGGCAGCAGUCGGGAAUAUUGCGCAAUGGAGGAAACUCUGACGCAGUGACGCCGCGUAUAGGAAGAAGUUUUUCGGAAUGUAAACUAUUGUCGUUAGGGAAGAGAAAGGACAGUACCUAAGGAGGAAGCUCCGGCUAACUACGUGCCUGCAGCCGCGGUAAUACGUAGGGAGCGAGCGUUAUCCGGAAUUAUUGGGUGUAAAGGGUGCGUAGACGGGAAAACAAGUUAGUUGUGAAAUCCCUCGGCUUAACUGAGGAACUGCAACUAAAACUAUUUUUCUUGAGUGCAGGAGAGGUAAGUGGAAUUCCUAGUGUAGCGGUGAAAUGCGUAGAUAUUAGGAGGAACACCAGUGGCGAAGGCGACGUACUGGACUGUAACUGACGUUGAGGCACGAAAGUGUGGGGAGCAAACAGGAUUAGAUACCCCUGUAGAC